rnacentral:rRNA from 1 species
UGGGGAAUCUUCCGCAAUGGGCGAAAGCCUGACGGAGCAACGCCGCGUGAGUGAAGACGGCCUUCGGGUUGUAAAACUCUGUGAUUCGGGACGAAAGAUAAGUAGACGAAUAAUCUGCAUAAGUGACGGUACCGAAAAAGCAAGCCACGGCUAACUACGUGCCAGCAGCCGCGGUAAUACGUAGGUGGCAAGCGUUGUCCGGAAUUAUUGGGCGUAAAGCGCGCGCAGGCGGCUACUUAAGUCCAUCUUAAAAGUGCGGGGCUUAACCCCGUGAUGGGAUGGAAACUGAGAAGCUGGAGUGUCGGAGAGGAAAGUCGAAUUCCUAGUGUAGCGGUGAAAUGCCUAGAGAUUAGGAAGAACACCGGUGGCGAAGGCGACUUUCUGGACGACAACUGACGCUUAGGCGCGAAAGCGUGGGGAGCAAACAGG